rnacentral:tRNA from 1 species
CGUUAUUUAGUGGAGCAAGCCCCGCAAGCUGAUGAAGAUAGUGGGUAAUGGCAUGCGAGUUUCCAUUUGGGAUGAGUUUAAGCAGCGCUUUGAUAUCCCGAAAAUCAUGGAGUUCUAUGCUUCAAGUGAAGG